GCUGGAGCUGAGAAAGGUUAGCCCUGA
rnacentral:piRNA from 1 species